AUUGAACGCUGGCGGCAUGCCUAGCACAUGCAAGUCGAACGAGAUCUUCGGAGCUAGUGGCGCACGGGUGCGUAACGCGUGGGAAUCUGCCUUGGGGUACGGAAUAACUCAGAGAAAUUUGAGCUAAUACCGUAUGAUGUCUUCGGACCAAAGAUUUAUCGCCCUGAGAUGAGCCCGCGUUGGAUUAGGUAGUUGGUGGGGUAAAGGCCUACCAAGCCGACGAUCCAUAGCUGGUCUGAGAGGAUGAUCAGCCACACUGGGACUGAGACACGGCCCAGACUCCUACGGGAGGCAGCAGUGGGGAAUAUUGGGCAAUGGGGGCAACCCUGAUCCAGCAAUGCCGCGUGAGGGAUGAAGGCCUUAGGGUUGUAAAGCUCUUUUACCCGGGAAGAUAAUGACUGUACCGGGAGAAUAAGCCCCGGCUAACUCCGUGCCAGCCGCCGCCGUAA
rnacentral:rRNA from 1 species